rnacentral:lncRNA from 1 species
GCAUUAGGUAGUCGUAAAUUGUGAUUUUUAAAUUUGCAUAACUCUGACUCGUCCGGCUAGUGGCACUAAUUGGCGUGGAAACUGCCGAACAGCGCGCGAGCAGUCACGUUCGAUUGGAAAGAAAGAAGUUGAAGCCGCAAGAAUCGUGACGGGCGUGAGGAGUCGUACAUUUUAUAAACAAACGGAGACGACGUUUCAAGUGCCAACUUGUUAUGCGCAGCAGCGGCCAGGAACAGCGCUCCGUGGUGAUGCUACAUCGAUUCGUGCGCACCAAGGUCACCAGCAGCCGCUCAAGACCACCAAGCCCCUCUAAGGAACACCUGGUGCCUAGCACCCAUUUGCCCAAGCCAUUUUAUCUGGCACGGACAAGA